rnacentral:rRNA from 1 species
CUACGGGCUGCUGCACUGGGGAAUAUUGCACAAUGGGGGAAACCCUGAUGCAGCAACGCCGCGUGGAGGAUGACGCAUUUCGGUGUGUAAACUCCUUUUAUAUAGGAAGAUAAUGACGGUACUAUAUGAAUAAGCACCGGCUAACUCCGUGCCAGCAGCCGCGGUAAUACGGAGGGUGCAAGCGUUACUCGGAAUCACUGGGCGUAAAGCGCGCGCAGGCGGCCUUUUAAGUUGGAUGUGAAAGCCUAUGGCUUAACCAUAGAACUGCAUCCAAAACUAUCAGGCUAGAGUCUGGGAGGGGAAGAUGGAAUUAGUUGUGUAGGGGUAAAAUCCGUAGAGAUAACUAGGAAUACCAAAAGCGAAGGCGAUCUUCUGGAACAGUACUGACGCUGAGGCGCGAAAGCGUGGGGAGCAAACAGGAUUAGAUACCCGAGUAGUC